GAAUUCGCCCUUAGAGUUUGAUCCUGGCUCAGGAUGAACGCUAGCUACAGGCUUAACACAUGCAAGUCGAGGGGCAGCGGGAUUGAAGCUUGCUUCAAUUGCCGGCGACCGGCGCACGGGUGAGUAACGCGUAUCCAACCUUCCGUACACUCAGGGAUAGCCUUUCGAAAGAAAGAUUAAUACCUGAUGGUAUGAUGAGAUUGCAUGAUAGCAUCAUUAAAGAUUUAUCGGUGUACGAUGGGGAUGCGUUCCAUUAGGUAGUAGGCGGGGUAACGGCCCACCUAGCCAACGAUGGAUAGGGGUUCUGAGAGGAAGGUCCCCCACAUUGGAACUGAGACACGGUCCAAACUCCUACGGGAGGCAGCAGUGAGGAAUAUUGGUCAAUGGACGAGAGUCUGAACCAGCCAAGUAGCGUGAAGGAUGAAGGUCCUACGGAUUGUAAACUUCUUUUAUAAGGGAAUAAACCCUCCCACGUGUGGGAGCUUGUAUGUACCUUAUGAAUAAGCAUCGGCUAACUCCGUGCCAGCAGCCGCGGUAAUACGGAGGAUGCGAGCGUUAUCCGGAUUUAUUGGGUUUAAAGGGAGCGCAGACGGGUCGUUAAGUCAGCUGUGAAAGUUUGGGGCUCAACCUUAAAAUUGCAGUUGAUACUGGCGUCCUUGAGUGCGGUUGAGGUGUGCGGAAUUCGUGGUGUAGCGGUGAAAUGCUUAGAUAUCACGAAGAACUCCGAUUGCGAAGGCAGCACACUAAUCCGUAACUGACGUUCAUGCUCGAAAGUGUGGGUAUCAAACAGGAUUAGAUACCCUGGUAGUCCACACGGUAAACGAUGGAUACUCGCUGUUGGCGAUAUACUGUCAGCGGCUUAGCGAAAGCGUUAAGUAUCCCACCUGGGGAGUACGCCGGCAACGGUGAAACUCAAAGGAAUUGACGGAAGGGCG
rnacentral:rRNA from 1 species